rnacentral:rRNA from 1 species
CCCUUAGAUGUUCUGGGCCGCACGCGCGCUACACUGACGAAUGCAACGAGCUUAUAACCUUGGCCGAAAGGUCUGGGUAAUCUCCAAAUUUCGUCGUGAUAGGGAUAGAUUAUUGCAAUUAUUAAUCUUCAACGAGGAAUGCCUAGUAAGCGCAAGUCAUCGGCUUGCGUUGAUUACGUCCCUGCCCUUUGUACACACCGCCCGUCGCUCCUACCGAUUGAAUGGUCCGGUGAAGCGUUCGGACCGUGGCCUUUGGACGGUUCGCCGUCUGUUGGCUGCGGGAAGUUCGUUAAACCUUAUCAUUUAGAGGAAGGAGAAGUCGUAACA